CCCUUAGAUGUUCUGGGCCGCACGCGCGCUACACUGACGAAUGCAACGAGCUUAUAACCUUGGCCGAAAGGUCUGGGUAAUCUCCAAAUUUCGUCGUGAUGGGGAUAGAUUAUUGCAAUUAUUAAUCUUCAACGAGGAAUGCCUAGUAAGCGCAAGUCAUCAGCUUGCGUUGAUUACGUCCCUGCCCUUUGUACACACCGCCCGUCGCUCCUACCGAUUGAAUGGUCCGGUGAAGCGUUCGGACCGUGGCCUUUGGACAGUUCGCCGUCUGUUGGCUGCGGGAAGUUCGUUAAACCUUAUCAUUUAGAGGAAGGAGAAGUCGUAACA
rnacentral:rRNA from 1 species